rnacentral:rRNA from 1 species
GACGAACGCUGGCGGCGUGCCUAAUACAUGCAAGUCGAGCGAACUUGCGGGAGCUUGCUCCCAAAAGUUAGCGGCGGACGGGUGAGUAACACGUGGGCAACCUGCCUAUAAGACUGGAAUAACUUCGGGAAACCGGAGCUAAUACCGGAUAAUUCUUUUCUACUCAUGUAGGAAAGCUGAAAGACGGUUUCGGCUGUCACUUAUAGAUGGGCCCGCGGCGCAUUAGCUAGUUGGUGAGGUAACGGCUCACCAAGGCGACGAUGCGUAGCCGACCUGAGAGGGUGAUCGGCCACACUGGGACUGAGACACGGCCCAGACUCCUACGGGAGGCAGCAGUAGGGAAUCUUCCGCAAUGGACGAAAGUCUGACGGAGCAACGCCGCGUGAGUGAUGAAGGUUUUCGGAUCGUAAAACUCUGUUGUUAGUGAAGAACAAGUACUAGAGUAACUGCUAGUACCUUGACGGUACCUAACCAGAAAGCCACGGCUAACUACGUGCCAGCAGCCGCAGUAA